ensembl:lncRNA
GUUGUAUUUUGUAGUUUUCUGCCACUCGUGUCACCGGGUAACUUCACUUCCUGCCUUGUCCCGUCAUCCCCUGUGAUCGUCUAAUAGUUUCCACCUGUGUCCAAUCACCUGCACCUCCCUUGUGUAUUUAAGCCAUGUGUCUCCUGUGUCACUUGUCGCGUCAUUGUCUUUUGCCACGCAUGUCCUUGUCCUGUCUUUGUCUUGGAUGCCCAUAGUUUCAUGCCUGAGUGUUUUUGCCCCUUGGAUUUUGGACCUUUUGACUAUUAAAUCUUUUUGUAUUGGAAAAGUCUGCGUUUGAGUCCUGCCUCCCACCCGCAACCCUGACAGGCGGCAGGUUUUCCAACAAGGGAAAUGGCAGAACACUAAACCAGAGCAUUAAGGAUCAAUGAACAAACUGGGGGUGUCUUCAGUGAGUGGGACAAAUCACAGGCCAUGUAGUGUGCUAUGAAGUUAGCUGUUGGUUAAACCCAGCAUGCUGAGAGCGAGAGGCAGCGAGGAGCUCGCUAACAGAGCCAAUCUUGAUCGUCCCAUCGACUUGCAAUCAGAUUUUGACGUAAACAGCGAUGGUGAAUAUAUACAAAAUGAGCUCGAGAGAAUGCUUAGCAAAGGUUUCCUGAUGGAGGCCCACGGGAAGGUGGACUUGAGUGGCGGCUUGGCAGCCAGUGGUGGAGGGAUCCAUCAUGUCAUGACAGGGAGGAGAGGGCUCUGACAUCUUGGCCUGCCCUGAGAGGCCAGCGCCUGUCAGCUUAAUGAGGCUCCCACUGACAGGUGAUGCGGUUGUUAGAUUGGGGUCGUGUGUGUGUGUGUGUGUGUGUACGCACGGGGGGGUGGAUUUUCGCAGAAGUUGAACAAGCGCCUCCUUAGCGUGUCUGUUAAUGUAUCUAGCAUGUCGUGUUACUUUCACAUGCGCUUCUCAGGAAAAUCAAAGAUGUUAUAGGCUGAAUCCUAUAAUGUACAAUGGUCCCUCGAGUCGCUCCAACCUGACCGCGUUAACCUGUGUGAGUGCACGUGAAAACUUUGUGUAUUGAUAACUCUGUAAUCUCUCCUUCCCUCACUUCCUUUUACCCUUCAGUGCGCCUCCUUCCCUCUCGGACUCGCUCACCCCCCCCCCCCUCAAGCCACCCACUCAUCUUCCUUUCCCCAUGUGCGGGUAUUAGGUUCACACUGUGGAAUAUAGAUGAAUCCAGCACGGACACUUCUAUUGAUUUCUCCCACACCACGGACACCGGGGAUAAUGAAAGAGUUUUUCCUGUCUUCCCCCCAAGUAGCCAUGCGUCAUAUUUCUUCAGGAGGUCUGAGUGGAAGACCAAUUGAAGGAACUGAGCUCGAUGCUACUGAUGCGGUAGACGGUUCAUGUCUGUUACGUUCCCUGGUAUCGGUUUGAGGUUCUACUGUAAACAACGUUAGGGAAACAGAGGAUGUAAACACUGUUGUUGUUUCCUAUUGAUUGGCAAUUAGCUAAACCCCGUCCUCCUCAGUUAAAGGCGCUUUGCAUCGGUAUUUCCAUUUCCAUUACAUGCGCUUUGCGCCGCGAAUGGAGACAAUUUGCCACCUGAAAUUCUUCUGUGGAAAUGGGUUCUUGAUUUCAAACGGCGGUAGACAAAAGCACGCUCAUCAUUCCUAGCUGGAAACUCGACGACGGUUGAAAGCAGAUUUUAUGCGCUUCAGCCUGCUAGCUGGAUAGUUAUGGACUCCGUUGGAUGGAAAGCCUGUUUUUUAUUGUCUCCUGUAACGUUGGCUUACUUUUCCGACUGCCAAUUUUGGGUGAUGAAAGCUAUACGAUGUCAGGAAUGGGAUAUUAUCUGAACGUAAGUUAUUGUUUGUCAUUUUAUCAUCCCACAAAAUACACCCAGAAGACUUCCUGAAAGGCUUUGAGACACAAUUUUUUCAUUGUCAUUACAUUCGGUGUAAAUACAGUUUACAGUGAGAGUCGUUAAGCAGCCAACUGGGAGGUUUAUGUCACUUUCAUGCUGAUUGGAUGGGGAUUCAAGCCGUACAUUGUAGACUGAUGGACUGCCUGAAGCAAUGGUGGCCGUUUCAGAGCAGCGAGGAAGCUGAUUUCUCUUUUUUUAAUCUGGUUACACUGGGCCGGGCGUGUCCUCGUUUGGUUGCUCGUCGCUCUAAUGGCAGAAACACUCUGGAGGACUUAAUUACCACCCAAGCAGCACUCAGAUGCACGCUUGGAAUGCUAAAGACACUUGCCUUUUUAAUUGCUGCCAAUUCUUCCCAAAAAGAAGCCUCUCUUUUGUAUCCCAUGAAAGGAGUUCAGAGAAGGCCGCAGUAGAAAAGGCGAAAAUAAACAAGGUUACAAUACAGCUGAGAUCUGUGGGCACGUUAUUUCAUGGAUUUUGUCAGUGUCUUAGAUGUUGGUAUUGAUUGAGAGACAUCCCUUGGAAUCUUCCCUGUACAGUGUCAAACAGCGAGUGUGCUUAAAUAGGUUGUGUCUUUAUUGAUUUCUUCAUGAAGCUCUGCUCAGAUGGAAUAUUGAGCGGUUCAGCCUGCGCCGGCCCGGCCUGCUCUCUCACGUGUCUUUCUGCUCUGUGCACCCAGAAGGGCGCCUGGUCUCCACGGUGCUGGAAGGAGAGACUCCUGUCGUGGGAGCGUGACGAGCAGGUGCCCGGGUGCGUGCAGGUGUUUGGUGUCGGUCUCUCGGGUUUCUCUGCCGUGGCUCGCAGCAAACGAUCGUCCCUCACGGGAGAUCUCAGGUUAUCAGCGAUGAGAUUGUAUGGGGACAUGCACGCAGAUGAUUGAUGGGUUCCGGUGCCACGAAGGUAAAAGGACGCAACGUUAUGGAAAAGCGGCUCUCAAGGAGAGCGGUUUCCUGCUUAUUUUAACCUGACCACAAUUACAUUUCAAGGGUGCACGUCUUGCAUAUUUAAAAAUAGCAUAAACUGUCCAUGUAACCUCAGCGAAGAACUCCUCAAGGGCUUGAAAUCAUGAAAUGAUUUAUCAGAGUAGACACAUCAAUUUCUCUGCACUCACAAAUUCUGCUGCAUAUGCUUUCGGUUAUGAGAUUAUUUUCCAAUGAACGGUGUCACAGAUGUACAUUUUGACAACUUCAUUUUUUUUCAUACAAAAGAUGCUGUCACUUUUAAUCAAACCAGGACAUUUAUCAGUUUGGAACCUUUGAAUGAAAAUCCAGGAUUAUCUAUCAGUGCGGAGUACAUAAUUACCAUUAAUAUUCAGUGGAGGAACAUUCAGUCCCCCCUUAAUAUAUAUAGUAUAACACUAUUCAGACUGCCACUAACGAAAAUAUUCUGUUUAAUUAUAUGACGGCUGCACAGAGCCAAAGACAGAUUACGGAUGCAUAUGUGACAAGCUUAUUAAGAGAAGUUUAUAUCCAGUGUUAACCACACUAUAUGGAGAUCUUUUUUCAUACCGAUGAAAUGUAAACAAACAUUCGGGCCUCUCUACCUCCCGCUUCCCUUAUCCCUCUUUCGACCUCUUUUUAUCAGUGUUUUGCUGCUUUUUCCACUCGGACGUCCCGGUUUUUAUAAAAGAAGUUUAGAAGACUGGGAUAUGGUGGUCAGGGUUUAAUUCCGCCGUGGGUUUCGGUCAGCUAACUGUCUUCAUUUGAAACCAGGUUGGGUCGCCUUUCACUGUCAAAGAUUUUUCAAAUCCCCUCCAUAAUGUCAAGACCGCCGUUCCACGCAUGUGGGAUUUAGCUGGAAGGCUUCACUGGCAUUUCCUCAAAAGGUCACCUGAGCCAUUUACUCUUAUGUUAUUUGACUUUUCGAAUAUGCUUCCUUGUCGAUACGCUGGAUAGUAUUGGCACCUCUAGGUGGACCGAGUCCUUGAGCGUUAUAGUUAUUGAGUGCAGAGUGACGGGUUCAGAUGUUGUGCAACAUGUUAAAGCAGCUAAGUUUGAACGGCAUACGCUGACCAAAAUAAUAAUAAUAAAUAAUAUUCUCUUCAGAUGGACAAUGAUUUGAAAUCAAAGCUGUCAGACACAGACACAGAUCACCGUCAGUGAUAAAUGCCAUGUGAGCUGUUGUCACCAUUUCUCCCAAAUCACCUUCUACUUUGAAGUUGUUUUCCAGCAUCCAAAAGCGUUAUUGCCUGUUAAGGAUUUAAGCAAGAAGUGCACCCCUAGUGGUGGAAAUUAUAAUACGUGUAAUAAUGUUUAGUGUUAGAAUUGUAGUUAUUUGGGAGUGUUAUUAGAUAUUAGUUAUUACAUUAGCAUGUUAGAUGAAGUGAAUGCAAUAUGAAUCGAACACAAUUUAUAGUCAUGUAAAUCAUAUAAACAAUAUACACAUCAUCAUUCUGUCACAAUGUGAUGUUAAAACCUAGGGACGGAUGUUAAUUGCCGUCCUUUAUGGAUUUCUCCCAAUUUUAUCCCCAAAGAGGGUUUUUUGGGAGUUUUUUCUCCUGUCAGGUACCAGAUGAGCAACUGAAUACAAGACAGCCGAUUGAGGCAAAUGUCUUGAGAAUUGGACCACAUGAACUGUUUUAGAUCUUAUGAUGUAUUGUGAUGAACGGUGAUCAUUUAUGAUGUGUUGUAAUUAAGGUGUACUAGUUAAGAUGAGGACAAACUAUGCAUGCUUUGUUAUAUUCACUCAUUGAGGCAUAAAGCCAAAUGUAUCUACGUUGAAUGUCUUGGAAUGUGAGGGACAGAAAAGACAGCGAGGUCUCAGACCCCAUGCAGACGGACUCGAGUUUGCCUGAACCCGGGUUUAUUUUUCACACCUACCCACUUUUUAAAUCCCGUGCACAUGAACCCAGUGAAUCCGAUUGAUUGCUUCCACGGAAGCAUGCGUACAAGACAUGCGCGCCGUAUACAAAC